rnacentral:tRNA from 1 species
GCGGAAGUGGCGGAAUGGUAGACGCGCUGGUCUUAGAAACCAGUGAGGCAACUCGUGAAGGUUCAAGUCCUUUCUUCCGCA